GACGUAGGGCGCGAGCGUUGUCCGGAUUUAUUGGGCGUAAAGAGCGUGUAGGCGGCUUGGUAGGUCCGCUGUGAAAACUCGAGGCUCAACCUCGAGAUGUCGGCGGAAACCACUUGGCUAGAGUCCGGAAGAGGAGAGUGGAAUUCCCGGUGUAGCGGUGAAAUGCGCAGAUAUCGGGAAGAACACCUAUGGCGAAGGCAGCUCUCUGGGACGGUACUGACGCUGAGACGCGAAAGCGUGGGGAGCGAACAGG
rnacentral:rRNA from 1 species